ACAGCCAUAUCACCCUGCAGCCCAAGACUGGUUGCCCACUGAAGCUAAGCAGGGCUGAGCCUGGUCUGUACCUGGAUGGGAGACCUCCUGGGAAAACUAGGUUGCUGUUUGAA
rnacentral:rRNA from 1 species